CAACCGCGCUCUCUUACCAUCCACUGUGUCCAUCCCUCUCCUGCAUACCGAUACCACCGUUUGUGCGAAAGAAAGGCACGAAAAAAUCGCGUUAAAAUAGCACUCAAACCUGAGCAGGCGACAACAAUCAGGCCUAAUAGACAAUGUAACCGGAGCCGGUGGUGACGUCACAAUGUGCUCCUGGGUCGUGUCAGCUCUCAUCAUCCUGUUUGCCAUGGGUGGUGAAGGUCAGGAGCACGGCCCCGUGUUCCUCAUGGAGCCGCCACCUCGGCUGGUGUUCUCCAACACGACGGGGGCACGCGCUUCGUGCGCUGCCCACGGGUUCCCCUCGCCACAGAUAGCCUGGCAGCAACCUGAUGGACAGCAACUUGAUGAUGUACCUGGACUUAGACAAGUGCUGGACAAUGGCACGCUGGUGUUCCUGCCGUUCAGUGCUGUGCAGUACCGGCAGGACGUGCACGCCACGGUGUACCGCUGCCGGGCACACAACGCGCAUGGAGCCAUCGUCUCCAGGGACAUGAAGACACAGGCAGUGGUGUGGCAAGACUGGCAGGUGCACGUAACCUCGACUCCUUCCGAGGCGGGAGGGCCUGCACUCCUUACAUGCGUGGCUCCAGCAGCACUCAGGGAACACUCUUCUGUCGCUGCCUGGUACAGAGACGACUCUGUUCUACCCUCCGCUGACCAUAUGUCUGGCACCACGCUGCUGGUGGACGAAGGUUGGCGGCUCAUCAUAAGAUCAGUCCGAGUGGAGGACACCAGAGCACAGUACUCGUGCUCGGUGCUCGACUCCCUCACUGGCGAGAGACGGAGAAGCUCACCAGUCAACAUCGAUGUUGCUCCAAUGAGCGUAUCAUCAGCUCCCCGCGGCAUCUCGCACAGCCAGUGGGAGGCCACGGUACGAAGAGGAGGAGACGUGGUCCUCCCCUGUCUGGUGCAUGCCAACCCUCCCGCCACCAUCACAUGGUACCGUGAGACGGGUGGAGGAGUUCUCCGGGAGAUCCGCGAUGGUGAGGCAGGCGGCCGGUACAGCCGGACCCAUGAUGCACUGGGCAUCAGACGAGCAGAGAUAGCUGACGGUGGCCGCUGGGCUUGUAGAGCAGCCAACGCUCACGGGCACCUGACACUGAGACUCCAUGUCGCAGUCCGGGCUCAUCUCACUGCACAUGCACAACCACAUACACAGGUCGUAAAUAGCGGUGGCACAGCCAUUAUCAACUGCACAUGGGGAGGGUGGCCUGCCCCUCGACUGGAGUGGCUGCACAAUGGCGUACCACUCGGUGCUGGAGUGGCUGGGGGCAGGGUCAGGGUGCAGAACAAUGGCGAACAGUUGGUAAUCUCCUCAGUACACAGAGCUGAUAAGGGAGUGUACCAGUGUAUGGCCAGGAAUGAGAGGGACUCUGCUCAAGCUAGUGCUGAGCUGAGGUUAGGAGACACAGCCCCAGAACUCCAAUACACAUUCAUAGAACAGGUCUUAAGACCAGGACAGGUUGUUACCCUCAAAUGCUCUGCCGCUGGUUCACCUCCACCUCACUUCACCUGGAUGCUGGAUGGGCAGCCGCUGAACACCAUGGCUAGAGGACACAGAUACAGUGUGGAACAGUUCGCGACAAAAACAAAUGAUGUUGUGAGUUACUUAAACAUCUCAGCCGUGAGGUCCGAAGACGGAGGUCUAUACACCUGCAGAGCAGCCAAUUCACUUGGAGAAGUGUCCCAUACAUCCAGACUCAAUAUUUAUGGUCCACCAUACGUAAGAUCCAUAGGUCCAAUACGAGCAGUAGCUGGACGAGAACUGGUUCUUUAUUGCCCUUACUCUGGCUACCCGAUCAGUUCAGUAAAAUGGGAACGAGACGGCAACCCAGUAGAAUGGGACAGUAGUAUUGAUGGUGCCCUCAAAGUGGCUCGAGUUGAGCCAUCAUAUGCUGGGGCUUAUACUUGUGCAGUUAUGGGCCCACACGGGGAGAUAGCCAGGCGAGAACUGCAGCUUGUCGUUAGCAAUCCUCCAGAAAUAGAGCCAUUCUCAUUUUCUGCGAACUUACAAGAAGGCAAGCGUGCACAAGUCAGCUGCAGUGUGACGUCAGGCGACAUGCCUGUCCACUUCACGUGGCUCAAAGACAACGCACCUAUCCCUUCUAGCUUACAGGUGGAAGAACGAGGUGCUGAUUUUUUCAGCAACCUCGUAUUCAAAGAGGUGUUCGCCCGGCACAGCGGGUUGUACACUUGCGUGGCCUCCAAUACCGCGGCCAAGGUUAACUAUACCGCCGAACUGGUGGUCAAAGUCUCCCCCAAGUGGGUGGUGGAACCUAAGGAUGAGGCAGUGUUGGCUGGUGAACCACUGGCCUUGCAUUGUCAGACCACGGGCUCACCUGCACCACAGGUCACAUGGCUGAAGCAAAGAGGGUCAUCAACAGACUAUGUUCCACUAAUAAACCUAGGCGGCAGAUUUCAGUUCCUAUCAAAUGGAACACUAUGGAUAGAGUCAGCUCUCCCCUAUGACGAGGGGAACUACAUGUGCAAAUCUGAGAAUGGUGUCGGAUCUGCACUUACCAAAACUAUAUUCGUUUCUGUCAAUGAACCUGCGAGGUUUGAAUUAACGUCCCACAAUAUGACGGCACGGCGAGACGCGCCUGCCACCCUAGUGUGCGAUGUGCGAGGAGACAGCCCCAUCCGAGUGACGUGGGCACACAACAUGAACCACUUAGAUCUUAAUACUUAUAGGUUAAGCAUCUCAGAAGCAAAGACUGAUAGUGGUUUAAGAUCCCAGUUGUACAUCAGCCGGGCAGACCGGCAGGACUCUGGAGUGUACAAGUGUCAAGCUGUUAACGCGUACGGUCACAGUGACCAUUACAUUUAUCUUUCCGUCCAAGAAAAACCCGAUACUCCCCAUUCUCUAUCUGUAACGGAGAUCCUAAGCCGCGCUGUCCGCCUGUCUUGGAGUCAAGGCUUCGAUGGCAACUCUCCCCUCGUUGGCUACACAUUGCAGUACUGCGCGUUAUCAGCUCAGGGAGCUAUCAGGGUCAACCAGUGGGAUGCUGCAGUUACACUUAACGUCUCCGUCCAUGGGAUCGCACACUCGCAUGUCACCCUCACCAAGAAAGGUGACAUACAUUACGAAGCACUGCUGGGCAGCCUCAAGCCGCAUACCGCUUACAUGAUCCGGAUAGCUGCCAUCAACCAAAUCGACAGGAGUGCGUACACCGACCCGGUUGUAGUGAAGACACAAGAAGAAGCUCCAUCAGAAGCACCAACGAAUGUGCAUGUAACACCCGGUGGUCCAGGGGAGCUACACGUGUCAUGGCGGCCACCACCACGAGACGCCUGGCAUGGAGAGCUUCUGGGCUACUCUGUCACUUGUGUGGAGCUCAGUCCUGCUUCACCAGCGCUAAGGAAUUCAACCAGAACACUCACAGUCAACGGUUGGUCAGCUACAGAGCUAAGUUUAUCAGCACUGCGCAAGUUUACAAGAUACGAAGUGCGCGUUAGAGCAUUCAAUGGCGUCGCGGCCGGACCUGCGUCUGCGCCUGUGUCUGCUACAACUUUAGAAGGAGUACCUGAAUCGCCACCUACAAGAGUAUCCUGCUCACCUCUAUCGUCAUCCAGUAUGAAAGUGUCAUGGAACCCGCCGCCAAUUGGACAACAUGGCGGCCUCAUACAAGGCUACAAAGUCAUCUACUCACCUAUUACGACAGAUCAUGUGGACGUUGGUGAGAUCAAACGUGUGACGACGACUGACACAUACUUGCAUACUCUCCGUAAAUAUGCUAACUACUCCAUACAAGUCCUUGCUUUUACAAAUGCUGGAGACGGCAAAAGAAGUUUACCAGUCUAUUGCAUGACGGACGAAGAUGUUCCUUCAGCACCCGAGAAGAUUAAAGCGCUGGCAUUUUCCAGUGACUCAGUACUAGUCAGUUGGUUGCCCCCAGUGCAUCCGAAUGGGGUCAUAACACAUUACACCGUUUACUACAGGGAAGCAGGACGUUUGGGCAAGCAUUCGAGUUUCACGGUCCCCGCAGAUAAGAAAACCGAUACAGAAUUAAUGUUCCAAGUGCGGAACUUGAUGGAGAACCAGUUGUACGAGUUCUGGGUAUCAGCUACUACGGGCUCGGGUGAAGGAGAGUCCACCCUCGUGGUCGGACAAGGGCCUAGUUCUAGAAUCCCAGCGCGCAUCGCGUCGUUCGGUCGCUGGGUGUGGGUGGGCGCGGGCCGCAGCGCGCUGCUGGCGUGCACGUGCGUGGGCGCGCCCGCGCCGCGCUCCCGCUGGGCGCACGCGCGCCUGCCCGUCACACACCACCAGUACUACCAGGUCACGCAUCGCGGACAUCUGCAUAUACGAGAAGUAAAUGAGCAGUCGUCUGGAAACUUCACGUGCACAGCUAGCAACACGAUUGGAGAAGACUCGAUAGUGUAUGUGGUGGUUGCCAUCAUGCCGCCGGCCGCGCCCACGCUAUCCCUGCAGUACACCACCACUUCCAGCAUCAAGCUACACUGGCAGCUUCCAGGGGAUACUACUGAACCUAUAUUAGGUUUUCUCCUCCACUAUAAGCAAGCUUCAGAAAGUGAAUGGCACACAGUAGACCUGUCUCCCGAAGUGAACUCCUACACAAUGGACAUGCUGAAGUGCGGUUCUACGUACAACGCAAAGAUACAAGCAAGAAAUAGGAUAUCUAUAGGACCUCCCAGUGACAUACUGACUGCCACUACUAGGGGAGGACGUCCCAAACCACCAAAACCAGAAGACCACGUACACAUGAACUCCACAGCGAUAAAAAUAAACUUCUACGCGUGGCGAGACGGUGGUUGCCCCAUUUUAGGAUUUAGGGUGUCCUACAGGAGAGCUGGCUCAGAACAUUGGAUCAAGGUUGGAGAUGGGUUAAGCUCAGCAAGUCAUGUGGUAGCCGAGCUGACACCAGCCACUUGGUACGAGCUGGCGGUGGAAGCAUAUAGUGAUGCUGGUAUGGAGCGGGUCACUCUAAAUGCUGAUACCCACACUCUUGCAGGAGGUCGCAUCCCCCCAAUAAAGCCAUCAUCUCCUCUGUCGGGAGCGUCCCGCCCCGCCUCGAUGCGUACAGUGCUGGUGUCAUGUGUGGCUAGUGGCGUGGUCAUCGUCGUCACACUCGCCGCUAUUGUGUGUCUAGUCCAUGGGAAGAAGAAAUUCUUCUGCAUUUCAAGCGACCAUUACAUGAGAGAUGACAGAAAGUUAAGUGAAAGCAAUGAAGCGGAAAGAGAAAAGUUAAGAGAGGGACAAAAACUAUAUUCGUCUUCCUCUAUCAAUGGAAACGAAAAAUCAAAUGAUGACUCCUCAGCGGAGUUAUACGAAAUAAGUCCUUACGCGACAUUCGGCGUAUCAGCGGCGCACUCGCUGCAGUUCCGAACGCUUGCGAGGCGUGAAGACGACGCCGCGCCACCGCACCGUCGACGACAUCGCGCCUGCGAUCAUUACAGAUACGAUGAAUCGAGUCUGUCUAAAUGCUCGACAGUGGAAGCACGGCAUCGUAUGCGCGCUGCUUGCGCCAGCGCAGGCGGUGGCCCCCCCUCCAAUAACUGGAGAGAUACACACACAGACUCUGAUGACAACAGCGAUAGUGCUGCCAAUACUACAACUAAAGGUUCUGGCACAUCACCUUGCAACAGUGCAUACGGCAGUGGCAGGCGAAGCGCCCGCACGACCAGCAGGUAGAACUCAGCGGAGGCCCGAACGGGAGCGACGGCCUCUCGGGGAGCUUCGCCCCGGUCCCCGCUGAUAUAUCUUCUUUAAUUGACAAAUAUCAGCAAAGAAAAGAACAAGAACGGCGAGAAUGUACAAUCCAUGUGUAACAUUAGUGUUUUGAAAUAAUUUUCUAAUUGAAAGUCCAUUCAUACAUAUUGUGAAAUUUAAUUACUAUUUAAAGAAGAGAACAUUUUCUAUAUUGAAUUGUGCGAUUGGAAGAAAAUAUGCGAUUGAGUGACUAAGAAAGAAAUUAAUCGACUCGUUUGCUGUCAAUUGUUUGUAAAAAGGGCUUAAUUCAUGCAUGUGAUUACGUCACAAACUGUGACACCCCAUUAUCUUAAUGUUAAAUUGUUAACUAAAUUAUUUAUGACAAUGUGAUUUAUUUAACACUGUUAAUCUGUGACAGUUUAGAUUUAUAAAUGGCAUCUAAUGAAUUGUAAAUAUUAGCAGAUGAUAAGUCUAACGAAAAUUACUAAUUUGCUGUGAGAUUUACCUAGUUACUACAAAUCAUCAUGGAGAAGUAAUUGCUGUCCAUAUAGAAACAAGCUAAGCAUUGAAAAAGUAUAUUACUAUUAACGUGCUUAAAAUAAUCUCACAGCGAAAUUUUAUUUAAAAAUAUCAUAUGCGCAUCUGAGGUUUUUCUAAAUUCUUAAAAAUAAUAUUUACGCAUGGCGUGUAAAAUCAGAUGCACAUAAAAUAUUUUAAAAUUAUAAUAAACUUAAAAUUAAUUUAUGAAAUUAUGUAGAUCUUAAGUAAUGUUAAUGGCUGUUCCAAACUGCAAAAGAUACAUAUCAUUAAAAUAGACUGCCAGUAUUUAAGUAAUUCGUAAUUCUUUUUACUAUAUUGUUGAUUAAUAUAGUUGAUAGGUAUUAAUUAUACACUAUUGUAUAAAAAUCUUUCUAUAUACAUGUUGUGUAAUAAUAAAAUUA